GUUAGUACAGUUUAUCACUAUUUCAUACAGCUACAAAACCAUCCAAAACGUAAAAGUGUAUAAUGAUGCAGAAUGCGAUAUUAGCCUUGGUCGUAGCCAUGACGGUUAUUCAGUUGGCCGCUGCACAAUUUUUACAAAAUGACGAUCAAUUCAUACCGAUAAAGAUGUAAAAAACCAUCACCACUACCACAAGAAAUGGAAAACCGACAUUCUACUCACAAGAAGGACUAUCACCAAUAAGAAAAAAA